AUUAUUUGCUAGGGGAGCCUAUGGCUGAGAAUUACCCUUUGUACCUGAUCCAGAUAAUACUGGCGUAGGGAAGCAACUUUUUCAGUCU
rfam:Garciella nitratireducens DSM 15102 genome assembly, contig: BP36DRAFT_scaffold00004.4